rnacentral:lncRNA from 1 species
GCCAAUGAACCGGGUUCGUGGUCGUUUAACAACUCCAGAUCGUUGCCUUCCCCAAUAUCGCGAUUUAGGUCAUUGGUCUGGUGAAUUUGGUCGCCGACUUCUUGUAUUGCUUCAUAGUUGAUCGGCGUCGGUUCCUCAACUGCCAUGAGCGCGUCAUCACUUACCCCACGAGAAUCGACAUUGCCCUCAAUAUUGAUAGAAGGAAAGAGACUUGCGAUUUCAUCUUCAAACUCCCAAGAAGUAUCUUCUGGAAUAGCUCCAUUCCAUAAGAUAAGUACUUGUCUCCUUGGUUUUCCACCUUGUAAUAUACUUCUUUUAUCUAGGACUGCAAUAGGGUAGAUAAUAGACUUAUUAUUCACGGUCACGAUUGGUUGAUCAUCUAUAGGUUUUUUAGAGAUCGGACCACAUAAUCUUCUUAGUUUGGAGACAUGGAAUGUUGGACGUAUCUUACUUCCAAUUCUGGUAGUUCUGAUCUGUAAACCACUUGAUUUAUCUUCUUGCAUAUCUUGUAAGGUCCAAAUUUUUUUUUGUAAAAUUUAUUACGCAUUCUAUGUGCCAUUGAGAUCUGUCUAUAUGGUUUUAGUUGUACAAAAAUUCAAUUUCCCACUUCAAAUUAAAAAGAUUUCUGCCCUCCUUUUAUCAGCUUGAUUCUUCAUCCUUAAUUGAGCCUUCACAAGAUUCCUUUUAAUCAUCUCUAAAGUUUCUUCUCUAAACUGAAGUUCCAUAUGUACUGCAAGAACUUGUGAUUCCCCUGAAUGAUAAUGUGGAAUCUCAUUAGCCUCUCUUCCAUAUAAUACCUUGUAAGGACUUGCUCCUAAUGUUGAGUGAAAACUUGAAUUGUACCAUAGUUUUGCCCAAGGCAGCAACUUAAGCCACAUAUUUGGUUGUUCAUGACAGUAUGCUCUCAAAUACAUCUCUACUGUUCUAUUAACUACCUCAGUCUGGCCAUCGAUCAGAUUGUGGGUAGUAGGUUGAAGAAAAAUUUAAUUUAGUUCCACUUAGUGUAUGGAUAUCCUUCCAGAAUUUAGAUAAAAAUAUUAUGUAUCUGUCAGAUACAAAUUACAAUAGAUUUUGGGAUGCCAUGUAGUUUUAAAUUUUUAAUCAUUUCUCUAGUGAAUGAUUCAACCACUUUAGAAGCAUUAAAAUUAGGAGGAAGUGGGCAUAAAUGAGCAUAUUUGAGCAACUUGUCCACAACAACCAUUAAAACAGUACCACCUCUUACUCUAGGGAGAUCUGUGAUAAAAUCUAUAAUGAUGUCCUCCCAAACUUGAGAUGGAAUGAGUAAUGGUGCUAGAAAACCAGCCAUUUUAGAGUUAGAUGGUUUGAUAUGUAGGCAUAUGCACACACUCUUUGACAUAUUUCUUUAUGAUAGCUCUCAUAUUAGGCCAAAAGAAUGUUUUAGCAUUUUUUUUCCAUGUCCUGUGAAUUCCAGAAUGACCUUUAAAUCGAGAGUCAUGAAAUUUAUAUAAGAUCUUCUUUAUAAGAGUAGAGUCCUCAUUCACAUAAUAUCUGUUGUUAUAUAAUAGAGUCUCAUUUCUGACAGAAUAACCCAUUGUAAUACAUCUCCUUCAGGAUAUUGAAUGAUUAGUGCUAUGGAAGUAGGGUUAAUUAAUGUUGUUUUCUGUUUUAAGUUCUUCCAAUAACGAAUAAAUGGACUGGGAUAUUGACAGUAGUGACCCAGGAGUACCUGUUGAAUUAGAAGAAAAAAUAACUUCUCCUUCUUCCAUCUCCUCAAAACUUUUAGAUAGAGCAUCUGCCAUUACAUUUUCCUUUUCAGGUUUAUAAAUAAUAGAAAAAUCGAAUUCCAAUCAUUUGCAUAAAAAUACCUGCUGCUCAGGAGUUUGAAUGACUUGUGUGAGUAGGUUUUUCAAACUCUUAUAAUCAGUUUUAAUUAUAAAAUGAGAUCCCAACAAAUAAUGCAUCCAUUUACUGACAGUCUGAGUGAUUACAAACAUUUCUUUCACAUAUAUAUAUAGAAGCACUUAUGAUCCUUCCUGACAGUUUACUACUAAAGAAACUAAUAGGAUGAGAAUUCUGAUUGAGAACUGCAUGCCCCAAUUCCAUUUUUACAAGCAUUAGUUUCUACAGUGAAUUCUAGUUGAAAAUCAGGAAAAAAUAACACUGGGGUAGAUACCAUUGUUGUUUUUAACUUUUCAAAACUGAGGGUAGCUUCCUCUCCCCACUUGAAGUUAUCUUUUCUUAAUAGGUUUGUCAUUGGAGAUGCUAUAACUGCAUAUCCUUUGAUGAAUCUUCUGUAGUAUCUAGUAAGACCCAAAAACCCUCUUAGCAUUUUCAGAGUUUUUGAUUGGGGUCAUUCUACCAUAGCUUUUAUCUUCUCUGGGUCAGGAUGAACUCCAUCACCAUCAAUAAUAUGUCCCAGAAAGGGCAUUGAAUCUCUGCCAAAUGAACAUUUUGAAAGUUUGGCAAGUAACUUGUUUUCUCUGAAUAGCUCAAAAACAAUUGUCAAGUGAUUAAUAUGAUCUUUAACAGAAGAACUAUAUAUGAGUAUGUCAUUAAAAAUAAAUAAUAACAAUUUUUCUCAUGUAUUUAGAAAAUACCGAAUUCAUCACAGAUUGGAAGGUUGUUGGAGCAUUAGUAAGGCCAAAGAGCAUCACAAGGAACUCAAAGUAACCUUGGUGAGUCCUAAAAACUAUCCUCUCAGUGUGAUUAGGAUUAACCCUGAUUUGAUGAAAUCCAGAUCUCAAAUCUAACUUAGAAUAAAUUGUAGAUCCUUUCAACUUUCCCAAAAGCUCAUCAAUAGUUGGGAUUGGGUAUUUAUCUUUGAUGGUCAGUGCAUUCAAAGCUCUGUAGUCCACACAUAGUCUAUAUCCACCAUAUCUUUUUUUUACUAACAAAACAGGAGAAGAAAAUGGGCUUGAGCUAGAUUUAAUAAUUCAUUGUUUUAACAUUUCAACAACCAAUCUUUCAAUUUCAGAUUUUAAAAAUUGAGGAUAUCUGUAUGGUCUCACAUUAACUGGUUCAGCCCCAGUAUUAGACAUAGUUAAUUAAACAUAUAUAACUCUCAAUCUAAAUCUGUAUUACAAAUUAUCUAUUAAUAACAUGUUAUUAAGUAUUAUGUUGUUAAUGGAUUAAUGGAUAAAUGUUUUUAUAACAGGCUAAUGAAUUAAUUAAUUGUCCAUCCCAGAAAUCAAACGGCCCAAGAAGAGAACUAAAAGCACAACUAAAAGAAUUCCAAUGACCUAGUUGUAUAAGUAGAGAUUUAUGGGAUGUAAUAAAAAUAGUUAAAACAAUAUAAAUAAUUGAUGUAAUUUUUACAAUCAAA